rnacentral:sRNA from 1 species
GCUGCGAAAAGAAUGUCCGCUUCGGGACAGAGUUGAUGUGCUCCUGGGGGAGGAGGGUCAAUUCAAGAUUUUCGGUGUCCCGGUCUAUUUUGCUCGGGAAGCUUUGGGAUUUCUCCAUGUUAUCUGGUUUGUGAGGAUGGUUUGGUAAUGGGGGAUGCGUGUGCCUGCUGUGUUCCCAAGACCACCAAGGGAGGACAAAAGGAUCACUGUUCGCUUGGGCAGCUUCGAAGCUGAAACUGGUGAGGGAAGCAGAUGCCCAGUCCAGAUCGGUUACAGCAAUCAAGACUCUUAAAAGAUGCUAGAAAGGGGCACAGGGGCAUAUGUGUAUGUGUGUAUUUAUGUACAGUAGAUGAGCAUGGACAUACAUAUAUGCAGUCUC